UUAAGCGACUAAGCGUACACGGUGGAUGCCCUGGCAGUCAGAGGCGAUGAAGGACGUGCUAAUCUGCGAAAAGCGUCGGUAAGGUGAUAUGAACCGUUAUAACCGGCGAUGUCCGAAUGGGGAAACCCAGUGCAAUUCGUUGCACUAUCGUUAACUGAAUACAUAGGUUAACGAGGCGAACCGGGGGAACUGAAACAUCUAAGUACCCCGAGGAAAAGAAAUCAACCGAGAUUCCCCCAGUAGCGGCGAGCGAACGGGGAGCAGCCCAGAGUCUGAAUCAGCUUGUGUGUUAGUGGAACGGUCUGGAAAGUCCGACGGUACAGGGUGAUAGUCCCGUACACCAAAAUGCACAGGCUGUGAACUCGAAGAGUAGGGCGGGACACGUGGUAUCCUGUCUGAAUAUGGGGGGACCAUCCUCCAAGGCUAAAUACUCCUGACUGACCGAUAGUGAACCAGUACCGUGAGGGAAAGGCGAAAAGAACCCCGGCGAGGGGAGUGAAAAAGAACCUGAAACCGUGUACGUACAAGCAGUGGGAGCACCUUCGGGUGUGACUGCGUACCUUUUGUAUAAUGGGUCAGCGACUUAUAUUCUGUAGCAAGGUUAACCGUAUAGGGGAGCCGCAGGGAAACCGAGUCUUAACUGGGCGUUAAGUUGCAGGGUAUAGACCCGAAACCCGGUGAUCUAGCCAUGGGCAGGUUGAAGGUUGGGUAACACUAACUGGAGGACCGAACCGACUAAUGUUGAAAAAUUAGCGGAUGACUUGUGGCUGGGGGUGAAAGGCCAAUCAAACCGGGAGAUAGCUGGUUCUCCCCGAAAGCUAUUUAGGUAGCGCCUCGUGAAUUCAUCUUCGGGGGUAGAGCACUGUUUCGGCUAGGGGGUCAUCCCGACUUACCAACCCGAUGCAAACUACGAAUACCGAAGAAUGUUAUCACGGGAGACACACGGCGGGUGCUAACGUCCGUCGUGAAGAGGGAAACAACCCAGACCGCCAGCUAAGGUCCCAAAGUCAUGGUUAAGUGGGAAACGAUGUGGGAAGGCACAGACAGCCAGGAUGUUGGCUUAGAAGCAGCCAUCAUUUAAAGAAAGCGUAAUAGCUCACUGGUCGAGUCGGCCUGCGCGGAAGAUGUAACGGGGCUAAACCAUGCACCGAAGCUGCGGCAGCGACACUAUGUGUUGUUGGGUAGGGGAGCGUUCUGUAAGCCUGCGAAGGUGUGCUGUGAGGCAUGCUGGAGGUAUCAGAAGUGCGAAUGCUGACAUAAGUAACGAUAAAGCGGGUGAAAAGCCCGCUCGCCGGAAGACCAAGGGUUCCUGUCCAACGUUAAUCGGGGCAGGGUGAGUCGACCCCUAAGGCGAGGCCGAAAGGCGUAGUCGAUGGGAAACAGGUUAAUAUUCCUGUACUUGGUGUUACUGCGAAGGGGGGACGGAGAAGGCUAUGUUAGCCGGGCGACGGUUGUCCCGGUUUAAGCAUGUAGGCUGGUUGUCCAGGCAAAUCCGGAUAAUCAAGGCUGAGGUGUGAUGACGAGGCACUACGGUGCUGAAGUAACAAAUGCCCUGCUUCCAGGAAAAGCCUCUAAGCAUCAGGUAACAUUAAAUCGUACCCCAAACCGACACAGGUGGUCAGGUAGAGAAUACCAAGGCGCUUGAGAGAACUCGGGUGAAGGAACUAGGCAAAAUGGUGCCGUAACUUCGGGAGAAGGCACGCUGGUGUGUAGGUGAAGUCCCUGCGGAUGGAGCUGAGACCAGUCGAAGAUACCAGCUGGCUGCAACUGUUUAUUAAAAACACAGCACUGUGCAAACACGAAAGUGGACGUAUACGGUGUGACGCCUGCCCGGUGCCGGAAGGUUAAUUGAUGGGGUUAUCCGUAAGGAGAAGCUCUUGAUCGAAGCCCCGGUAAACGGCGGCCGUAACUAUAACGGUCCUAAGGUAGCGAAAUUCCUUGUCGGGUAAGUUCCGACCUGCACGAAUGGCGUAAUGAUGGCCAGGCUGUCUCCACCCGAGACUCAGUGAAAUUGAACUCGCUGUGAAGAUGCAGUGUACCCGCGGCAAGACGGAAAGACCCCGUGAACCUUUACUAUAGCUUGACACUGAACAUUGAGCCUUGAUGUGUAGGAUAGGUGGGAGGCUUUGAAGCGUGGACGCCAGUCUGCGUGGAGCCAACCUUGAAAUACCACCCUUUAAUGUUUGAUGUUCUAACGUUGGCCCCUUACCGGGGUUGCGGACAGUGUCUGGUGGGUAGUUUGACUGGGGCGGUCUCCUCCCAAAGCGUAACGGAGGAGCACGAAGGUUAGCUAAUCCUGGUCGGACAUCAGGAGGUUAGUGCAAUGGCAUAAGCUAGCUUGACUGCGAGCGUGACGGCGCGAGCAGGUGCGAAAGCAGGUCAUAGUGAUCCGGUGGUUCUGAAUGGAAGGGCCAUCGCUCAACGGAUAAAAGGUACUCCGGGGAUAACAGGCUGAUACCGCCCAAGAGUUCAUAUCGACGGCGGUGUUUGGCACCUCGAUGUCGGCUCAUCACAUCCUGGGGCUGAAGUAGGUCCCAAGGGUAUGGCUGUUCGCCAUUUAAAGUGGUACGCGAGCUGGGUUUAGAACGUCGUGAGACAGUUCGGUCCCUAUCUGCCGUGGGCGCUGGAGAAUUGAGGGGGGCUGCUCCUAGUACGAGAGGACCGGAGUGGACGCAUCACUGGUGUUCGGGUUGUCAUGCCAAUGGCACUGCCCGGUAGCUAAAUGCGGAAGAGAUAAGUGCUGAAAGCAUCUAAGCACGAAACUUGCCCCGAGAUGAGUUCUCCCUGAGACUUUAAGUCUCCUGAAGGAACGUUGAAGACGACGACGUUGAUAGGCCGGGUGUGUAAGCGCAGCGAUGCGUUGAGCUAACCGGUACUAAUGAACCGUGAGGCUUAACCUU
rnacentral:rRNA from 1 species